UGGGGAAUCUUGCGCAAUGGGCGAAAGCCUGACGCAGCCAUGCCGCGUGAGUGAUGAAGGCCUUAGGGUUGUAAAACUCUUUCACCGGGGACGAUAAUGACGGUACCCGGAGAAGAAGCCCCGGCUAACUUCGUGCCAGCAGCCGCGGUAAUACGAAGGGGGCUAGCGUUGCUCGGAAUUACUGGGCGUAAAGGGCGCGUAGGCGGAUCAGCAAGUUGGGGUGAAAGCCCGGGGCUCACUCGGAAUUGCCUUCAAACUGCUGAUCUAGAGUACGGGAGAGGUGUGUGGAACUCCGAGUGUAGAGGUGAAAUUCGUAGAUAUUCGGAAGAACACCAGUGGCGAAGGCGACACACUGGCCCGUUACUGACACUGAGGCGCGAAAGCGUGGGGAGCAAAACAGGAUUAGAUACCCUGGUAGUCCACGCUGUAAACGAUGAUUGCUAGUUGUCGGCAGGCAUGCCUGUCGGUGACGCAGCUAACGCAUUAAGC
rnacentral:rRNA from 1 species